GUGUCAGCAGCCGCGGUAAUACGUAGGGAGGUUUGCUCGAGAGGAAUCAUUGGGCGUAAAGGGCGCGUAGGCGGUUUCGUAAGUCAAAUGUGAAAUGCACAGGCUUAACCUGUGAGCUGCGUUUGAAACUGCGAGACUAGAGAUCAGGAGAGGAAAGUGGAAUUCCUAGUGUAGCGGUGAAAUGCGUAGAUAUUAGGAAGAACAUCAAUGGCGAAGGCAGCUUUCUGGACUGACACUGACGCUGAGGCGCGAAAGCGUGGGGAGCAAACAGGAUUAGAUACCCUGGUAGUCCACGCCGUAAACGAUGGAUACUAGGUGUAGGGGGUUCGAUUCCCUCUGUGCCGCAGUUAACGCAAUAAGUAUCCCGCCUGGGGAGUACGGUCGCAAGAUUGAA
rnacentral:rRNA from 1 species